rnacentral:misc_RNA from 1 species
AGCGUCAUUACGACCCUUAAGCCUCGUCGCUUAGCGUUGGGAGCAUUACCGUCAGGUAACUCCUCAAAGUCAGUGGCAGAGUUGCGGUACACUCUAGGCGUAGUAGAUUUAUUUCUCGCCUCUGUGGUGGCCGUGGCUGUCGCCAUGAAACCUCUAUUUUUCUAGUG